AUUUUUGAAAAGCUUAUGACAAAUUAUAACUAUUGCUACGAAGCCUUAAGAUUUCAAAUCAUACCUUGAGAGAGGAAUCACAGAAAUUUUUUCGAGAAUUUGAAAGAAAAGUCAGGUAAAACAGUCAACUUCAAAAUUCUGACACCACUUAUGAAAUAAUGAUUUUUCACAAGAUACUAGCAAAUACUGACAAUUUUGAAAGAGAAUGAACACCACUGAACUGAAAAUUGAAGAAGUAGUUUAUACUCGUAUAAAAUGAAGAACUGCAAAAAAACUAAGAGUAAAAUUCUUGUUUGUCCCAAAGAUCUGCCUGCUCAUUGGUUGAAGAUGUGUAAAAGUUCUACCAAGUCCACCAUUUCACCACUAAUACAAGUAGAUGGAUCAACAACAGUAGGAAACCUAAUUUACUUGAUGACUACUUCACAGUUAACUUUUGAGGUAAAAUACCGGUCACACUCUCCACUGUUCACUCCAUAAUGCCAGAUAUCACUGUUUUCAACCAAACAUUGAAACACCUCAACUUAAAACUUCAAUAAAGGUUCUAAUGGA